UACGGGGGGGGCAAGCGUUGUUCGGAAUUACUGGGCGUAAAGGGCUCGUAGGCGGCCAACUAAGUCAGACGUGAAAUCCCCAGGCUUAACCUGGGAACUGCGUCUGAUACUGGAUGGCUUGAAUUCGGGAGAGGGAUGCAGAAUUCCAGGUGUAGCGGUGAAAUGACGUAGAUAUCUGGAGGAAUACCGGUGGCGAAGGCGGCAUCCUGGACCGACAUUGACGCUGAUGAGCGAAAGCUAGGGGAGCAAACGGG
rnacentral:rRNA from 1 species